rnacentral:sRNA from 1 species
CGACCGUCGAACACGUGACAGAAUGCUGCCGCGGAGGCGCUUGCCGCCUCCUCGGCCCCGCCGGCCUCCUCCCUCUCGCCCUUCCGGGCGCGUUGGUUGCUGGCCGGAAUACGGCGCGGGAUGACGCCAAGGAACACGGUAAAGCUGAGGCGCCGGCGAGCCGCUCGAGGUCUCCGUCGGUUGCCAAGGCCAACAGAAAAAAAAAUAUGACUCUCGGCAACGGAUAUCUYGGCUCUCGCAUCGAUGAAGAACGUAGCGAAAUGCGAUACGUGGUGUGAAUUGCAGAAUCCCGUGAACCAUCGAGUCUUUGAACGCAAGUUGCGCCCGAGGGACCCUCCCGAGGGCACGCCUGCCUCAUGGGCGUUAGAAGCCCAUCCACGCUCGGUUGCCUAACUAACGGCAGAGAUGCGGACAUUGGCCCUCCGAACCGCGAGGYGCGGUGGGCCUAAGUGUGCGGCCGUCGUACGUGGCCGGGAGCGGCGAGUGGUGGGCUACUGCGCACGUCGCCCCGAGCCCCGUACYGACGCAGGGCCUUGUACGACCCCCUAACGAGGAGCAAGCCGCUGCGGCUCCGGCUGCGCGGCGCCUUCGGACCGAUACCCCAGGUCAG